rnacentral:rRNA from 1 species
GGGUCUUCGGACCCGCAGCGGCGAACGGCCGAGGAACACGUACGAACCUGCCCUCGCGUGGGGAAUAACGCGCCGAAAGGCGUGCUAAUACCGCGUACGCGCAUCCAGCUGGAUGCGGAAAGCCUGCGGGCGCGCGCGGAGGGGCGUGCGGCCCAUCAGGUGGUUGGGGGGGUAACGGCCUCCCAAGCCGAUGACGGGUAGCUGGUCUGUGAGGACGAUCAGCCAGACUGGGACUGAGAGACGGCCCAGACACCUACGGGUGGCAGCAGCGAGGAAUCUUCUACAAUGGGCGCAAGCCCGAUAGAGCAACGCCGCGUGGAGGACGACGGCCUUCGGGUUGUAAACUCCUUUCGGGGGGGAGGACACGGACAGUACCCCCAGAAGCAGCCCCGGCUAACUCUGUGCCAGCAGCCGCGGUAAGACAGAGGGGGCAAGCGUUGUCCGGAUUUACUGGGCGUACAGCGCGCGCAGGCGGCGCGGCAUGUGCCGUGUGACAGCGGGAGGCUCAACCUCCCUCGGUCACGGUAGACAGCCGCGCUGGAGGCAGGGAGAGGGCUGUGGAAUACCCGGUGGAGCGGUGAAAUGCGUAGAGAUCGGGUGGAACACCAGCGGCGAAGGCGGCAGCCUGGGCCCUGGCCUGACGCUGAGGCGCGAGAGCGUGGGGAGCGAACAGGAUUAGAUACCCUGGUAGUCCACGCCGUAAACGAUGUGAACCCGGUGCCGGGGGGUGAUUGCGCCCUUUGGUGCCCCAGCUUACGCGAUGAGUUCACCGCCUGGGGAGUACGGCCGCAAGGCUAAAACUCAAAGGAAUUGACGGGGGCCCGCACAAGCAGCGGAGCGUGUGGUUUAAUUCGACGCAACGCGCAGAACCUUACCUAGGCUGGACAUGGAGCUGCGAGCCAGGGAAACCUGGUGCCUUCGAGGGAGCUCCACAGGUGCUGCAUGCCUGUCGUCAGCUCGUGUCGUGAGAUGUCGGGUUAAGUCCCGCAACGAGCGCAACCCUUGUCCGGUGUUACGCGUGUCACCGGAGACUGCCGGGGUGUUACUCCGGAGGAAGGCGGGGACGAUGUCAAGUCCGCAUGGCCCUGACGCCUAGGGCGACACGCACGCUACAAUGGCCGGCGCAGCGCGCGGCUUGGGGGCAACCCCUGGCUAAUCGCCAAGGUCGGUCUCAGUGCGGAUUGGGGGCUGCAACUCGCCCCCAUGAAGGCGGAGUUGCUAGUAACCGCGUGACAGCAGAGCGCGGUGAAUACGUACCCGGGCCUUGUACACACCGCCCGUCACGUCAUGGGAGUCGGGAACACCUGAAGUCCGUGGGCCGACCCGCCGGGAACGGCGGGAGGCAGCGGCCGAGGGU